rnacentral:sRNA from 1 species
AUUUAGAUGGGAAGUGGAUGGGUCUGAGGAAUUUGAGCAAACACUGACAAUGAAGGAGAGUGACCUGAGCAAGUACUAGUGGGGUAAAUGGAAAUAGACAAAAUGGGAAUCAGCAGAGAUAUGGAGGACAGAAUACAAUGAGGAGGCCUUGACCGUCAGUAGCAGAGAGGUCAACAGAAGCCUAAUUCCCAAAUUCCUUAGAUGGUUUUCUGAUUUCCAAAUUAGUUUCCCUUUUAAAUUUAUUGUGUCAGGUUCAGCUUAUGAGGCCUCAAUACUUUUCAGUCUUAAUUGUAUAUUGAAAAUACUUUUUGUUUAGUAAAUACUUUUUACAUUAAUUCAGUGCGCACUUCGUAAGGAUAUUGAUGAUUUGAGUUAGUUUAGUAUUCAACAGCUUCCUCUAUUCCUUUAUAUGAUCUCUGUAUUUAAUAGCUGUGGCAUAAAGUUUCCAACCAAGUAUAAGUAUCAAGUUCUCUUUGUGCUGUUUUCUGCAAAUAUUGAAGGAUGGCCUGAAUUGUCCUAGAACUUUGUUCCAACAGAUUCCAUGUGUUCAUAAUGAAUACAUUGCUCAAAGAUA